rnacentral:misc_RNA from 1 species
UCCGGUUUGGCACCGGCAGUCUCCCUAGAGUUCCCGGCAUCACCCGCUGGCAACUAAGGACAGGGGUUGCGCUCGUUGCGCCACUUAAGGCAACACCUCACGACACGAGCUGACGACAGCCAUGCAGCACCUGUGAUCCUGCCCCGAAGGGAGGGUGUGUUUCCACACCUGUCAGGAACAUGUCAAGCCCAGGUAAGGUUCUUCGCGUUUCGUCGAAUUAAACCACAUGCUCCGCUGCUUGUGCGGGCCCCCGUCAAUUCCUUUGAGUUUUAGCCUUGCGGCCGUACUCCCCAGGCGGGGCACUUAAUGCGUUAGCUUCGGCACGGGCGGAGUUGAUAUCCGCCCACACCUAGCACCCAACGUUUACGGCUAGGACUAC